CACGCAUAAAUGUCGAUAAUAAAAAGCCAUAUAAAUUCCUAAGCUGAUUUCUAAUUUAUUUAUCUUUUUUGUCUUACUUACUUUCGGUUUUUGGUAAUUGCUAGCGCGCGUACUUCGAAUCUACAUAUGUAAUAGCAUUUCUUUGCAAUAAUACUUUAACUUGACAAGCUUUUUUUCUAUUGUUGUUGUAAAUUGUACUUUAGCCGACCAUUUGGUUAGCGGGCUGUAGCGCAGUUGCUGGUUGGUUUGGCUUGGUUGAGUUGCCGCCACUAAUGGUCAACGAACUUCUUUCGAACGCUCGGUUUGGCGCAAAAACAACAAAUAUUAUCAGUGGUUGAAACCCAAAAUAAAGAGCACCCACUUGAGCGCCAUCAUAACCAAAUAAAGUAAAAAAAAAAAAAAAUAUUUGCCUACAUUUGCUACUAUUUUCUUUUUUAAUCUAUAAAAAUAAUGUUAAAAAAUAAUAAAGGUGUUGGCUGGUUUUGGUUUCGGUGUUGUUGUUGAACGGAGUUUCGAAUAAGGCGGCAAGACGAACAACAGCGAGGAGGAUAAGGUUGAUGGCUUGCUUUCCGCUCGACUGGGCUCGGUGCACAGCGCAUUCGUCGUCAGCCAAAUAGCACUCCAAGCGGCCAAAUACCGACAGAGCGAGGCAAAUAAGCCAACAAGCAGCUGCUUUGCUCGUUGGAACUAAACGUGGCUUAAUUUAAGCGCUUCAUGCGGCACUGCCUUUUAUUGUAGUAUUGCAAACUUUGUUUUUUUUUUUUUGACUUCACACACUAUGCUUUCUGUAUCAUUAUUCUUAUUUCAUAUAUACGUUUUUUAUUUUGCUAAUGGGCUUUUGUAGUCAAGCGUUUCGGAAAUCAACAACGUGAAGCAACAAAUGAGUUACCGUACAUCGGCGGAAAAUAUUGUGUAAAUGUGUGUGUCAAUGCAAGGAUAUGUGUCCAUCAAGUCUCAAGAAAAUAAGGCAACCAAUGAUUUGCCAUUCUCUGGUGAACAACAGAUCCUUCAUUAAGGAUCGACACACAUAUGUGCUUUGUGAAAUCUUUUCUAUAGAAGCGAUAUUGAGUUAUAUAGUUGACAUUUGAAUAUUUAUCACAGAAUGAAAAUAAAGUAUAUAAGCAAAUUUAAA